CUCGCCUCCCAGCCGGUGCCCCUGGCUCAGCACUGGCACCGUGCCGGUCCGUGCCAGCAUCUGUCAGCCCUGUGCACACCUGCAGAGCAUGCUGAGCUCCAGCUCAGACCCCUACCCAUACCUGCAGAGCAUGCUGAACUCCACUGGGACCCCUACCCACACCUGCAGAUGCUGAGCUCCAGCUCAGACCCCUACCCACAGGUACUACUAAAAACCACCACUCUGGGCUUCGUCAGUUUUAAGAAGUAAAACACUGAAAUGCCUGUGAGCUCUGCAUUUAGCACCCAGACUCUGAGCAGUUCUGUGUGAUGGUGUCUGAAAAACUGUCCAGAUCACAAGGCUUUGGGUAUUUCUGACCUGGUAAAAUUAAAUUUUCACUUGCAUUAAUUUUGAAGAGAUCUUUCUAGAUGAAACUGAAAUUUCAUGUGAGCAUGAUCAGUUACACAUUUCCAAGUACAGAUCUGUCUGAAUCCUUGAGGCCAACCUUAUGGUCAUCGUGGAUUGCAGGUGAUUAACAUGAAAACUUAUCAUUCUGCUUUGAAAAGCCAUCACAGGAAUAAUGUGGUAUAGAAUAUAUAAGGGUUUAUUUAGUCCCUCAAGUUCUUCAUGUAUGUGAGCCAGUGGAAGAUGGAAAAAAAGAUUCCAUAGUAUGAAUGGAUUAAGUAAAAUCAAAUUGACUUUACUAGAUAAAAAAACAAAAUGUGGUGUGAUUCUCAGAUGAAUGUGUGAUUCUCAUUAAUGAUGCAAUAAUAAUAAAUUAAAUCCAGGCAGAGCUAGACAAUGGCUGGAGAGGGGGAUGUGGGGAUGAGGCUGAGGCAGAGCUGGCAGCUCUUCCUCCUCCCAGGAAACCAUCUCUGAGUGAGUGAAUUUAAAAUUAGAACAGGCAGAUAAUGCAGGUGCACCCAAUGAUUUCUGCCCUCUGAACAGAGACCACAUUUUUUCCAAGCCAUAGAUUCUCUCCCACCAAAGACUUUUCUUCUCUGGCAGAUGUUGAGCAGAUGUUUUUUAUUAUAAACAGAUGGGAAAGAUUUUUCAAUUACCAAUUAUUCAAAGUAACAAUGAGGCCUAUUGCUUAAUUUAGAGAUUAUAUUGAGAUAAUAUUUAUGCACAUUUAAAAUAACAUUAAAAUAAUAUUAUCAAUCUGGAUUAAAAUUAUCACUAUAUUUGUCAUAUUUGAAAUGUUAUCCUACUCCCGUCCAGUCCAAGUGACUGCACCUGUCAUCUGGACUUUCCUGGAGUAGACUCAAGGUGCACAUUCUAAAGGCAUCCCACCACUCUAAUCUACAAUUUCAGCUUCUGCAGGGUGAUCUGUGAGGCAGCAGAGCCAAUAAACUGCAUUUUCAGCACCACUAGCUACAGUAAUCAAUAUUAAUUACAUAAAUUUUUUGAAUUUAUUUUAAUAAGCACUGAACUGAGUGUGAAGAGAGAGAGAGAGAGAGGAGAAAAGGUCACAAAACAAUUAGGAAAUGUCAGUCAAGAAGGAACUCCCUGUACCUUGUUGAGAUUACCCAAGACAUUGACAAGGUCAUAGAGAAGGAAACCGGAAUUAUCCACUCAGAAAAAUUCAAAUGCUCUAAGUUUUCUUUGUGUUGCCUCUUUCUAACAUGUUUAAUCUCCGGAUCACAUUGGUCCAACACCAAAUGAAACCUUGUUUGUCCAUUCCCUUGGUGAUGGAGUGAAGAAAGACAGUGGCUUUCCUAGCAGCAGAGGUACUUCUGUUUUUCCUGCACAAUCCCCAAUCAACUCAGUGAUUCUACAGAUAUCUCCUACAGCACUGCCUUUUUCAAGCUUCUCCACAGAAAAUUUUCUGUCUCACAAAACAACCCUCCGACAGAUGAAGAGCUAAAGCUUGUUUGGAAGCUAAAUCAAUAACAGGGAAUUAAUUUUACUUUCUGGUUUACUACUCUUGCACCUGUUAUUAUUUGAAAUAUUUUGAAGAGGGGAAAAAAAAGAGGUGGUACAUUUCCCUGUAACCUCUUCAUUAACACUCCUGUUACCAUCAUUCAGUUAUUUCAGUACUGUUGAAGAUCUGUAAGGUUUUCACAGGCAUUGAAAAUUCUGUGUAUUCUCCCUCCCCCCAGUCACUGGUGGGAGCAAAAGCUUUGUGUGACCAAAGCAAAAUCACAGAAAGAACCAAUUGUUCAGGGCCUGACCAUUCCCAUCAGUGCCUCUGGCAACUGUACUUGUUUGAUUUUCAGCAGAUUUCUAUUUCAAAUAGUAAAACAAGAACAGAUUUUCCUCUUAAUUCCCGUUUGAUUGCAGAGGGAAUUCGUGUCAAAGGAUAUUCCUGGAGAUUCAAAUGAGCUGUUAGAAAUGAUGUCUCCUAAAGUGUUUAGAAAACAUACAAACAAUGUGCAUUCUUUGGGAUUCUUUGUCAGGGCAGAUGCAACAAUAGACCUCAGGAAAGAUGAGCAGAUGUUAUUUUGCACACUCUUCAUUUCAGAGGCUUUAGAAAUUCAUGAGGUCUUUUGUAGGUUUUAUGAAUCUUCUAAUAACAGUGCAGCUGUUCCAUUCAGAGCCUAAACUUGUCUUCAGACGUUUACUUGCAUCUGCAGAUGUUGAAGGAAUGGCCACAUUUGACAGGUUUGCAAGAUAUUCUCUCCAAAGGUAACCAGGCAGUGCCUGUAGAUUCUGUGUCUUUCCCUCCUCCCAUGCCCUGGAUUCUGCUGUUCCAUGGCUGGAAUCCUCUGGUAAUUCAGCACUGCAUUACCUCCAUUCCUUUGGUGCAGAAAGCUCAAAGACAAUUCAACUUUCUCAGAACACUUCCACUCUCUACGUGGGCAGCAUUAUGAUUAUUUUCCAAUUUUAUGGAAACAACCAUUGAAGCUGUCAACAACAGCACAGAAACUCAUGUACUGCCACACAGUAGUGUGUUCUCAUUACAUUCUGGUCAGGCAGGACAAAUCACAUUGCAGAUGGUUUCACUGGAAGACGUGGAUUUGAUCAGCAAAUGCACUGUGCUGAAGCUGACUGGACUGCCCAGAGCCAAGCUGUUUUACACCAAGCCUCCUCUGACACAGCCACCAUCCCUUCUGGGUUGUGAAAGUCCAGAUGGAAUAUUUAGAUCUAUGCUCUGUUGUCUCACCUUGCAUUCAUUUUAAAUUCACUGAUUGGUUUAUUUAGCUCUUUAUUCUCUUAUUAACCUUGGAAAAUGUUGCUCACUCUUAUUCCUGUAGUAACUGCUGUAGCAAUUGGAUGCUCCCCAGAAAAAUCCCAGACAUUUCCAAUAUUGUGCUUGGCUCCUCUCCAAAGGUAGGACAGUACCUCACAAGCUUCUGUCUCUGCUCUAUCUUGAAAAUACCCUUCAGUUGCCUCUAGUGUUCCCUGAAUGGGGCCAGUCGUCCCUCGGGAUGUAAAGCAUCAUUCAUCCAGCACAGGAACCACACAACACAAUCCCUUUGUGGUCUUAGCAGCUCAUUUAACAACUGUAACAUUUAUUGAACCAAAAGUAUUUAUGGUCUGCAUCCAGUGUAUUUAUUCCUCAAAUGAGAACUUAUCUGCCUUUUGUGUUAAGUCCUGGCAGUGGAAGUGUACAGGUAAGUACUCACUGAUAAGUGUGAACUGCAUUUGACAUUCCUGAGCACAGAAGAGAGAUGGAAGAAAACACAUAAUUCACUUAACAGGAAGAGUUACUUUCAGAAAACUGUUGUGAGGUGAAACAGGCUUGUUUUUGCCAUGAAAGACAAAAUGACAAUGCUUCACUUGAAAUAAGGGCACAACUAAUGCUGUAAUUACUGGCCUGUGGCAGCGCUGAAGUCUGUGGAGAGCAUCAAACUUGGGAUGGGGUUAAGGUGCUCUCAGUUCAAAGGAGGGACAGACCCUAAGGACAGAAUGUGCCAUUCCGAGCAAUUAAAAACAGUGGUUGGGCAGGUCUUGACAAAAUUUGAAUAUAUAGACAAAUGCACUGAGUGUCAGUGAAUGAGAAAUCUCACCCUGGAUUUCCCCAGCAACCUCAGUUUUCCUGGAAUUAAAAACCAAGGCAGCAAAUGCACAGAGGAAGCCCUGGUUCCUGUGCCUCCCAGAGAAGGAAGCUUGGUUAGCCCGAUGAUUAAAAAUAGAAGAAAGAAGUAGAACAACAGAAAAAGAAUAUGAGGUGGGACUUCAGCUGGGGCCUGAUCAAAGAGCUGAAGUGAGUCUGGGGGUUAUCAGAGGGCAGAUCCCCACUCUUCCUUCCUUCCUGCAUCCCAGGGGGGUCAGAGGUGAUUCCCACCUCGUGAGGCUCUCCCACCCUGCUGUCCCAUGGGGGCUGUUUUUACUGUAGUGAGUUAUCCAUUAAAAAUGGGGAAAAGCCAGGCUGCUCUGCAGGGAGGUGACCCUGCAGGUCACAGCUACCCCGUGCAGCCUCGGCUCUGCUUUCAGCCUGUCACAAAGAUCCCUGUGCAGAGCCCCUGAGGACACCAUGUCCCAACAAGCACAGCAGCUACAUCCAGAGGAUGUGGAGAUCCAGAGGAAAUGUGCUAAAGCCAUUAGAGGAAAUCUGACAACCAACACUUCCUAUUUUCCUAGAUCUUCUACCCAGAGCAGCAAGCUGCCAGGUGGUGGACUGUAUUCCAGCCGGGAAUAGACUGACAUGCUGCUAUUUUGUGUUUCCCUGAAUCCCAGUGGAUACUAGCUGAAAUGGCACUUCCCCAGUCCCAGACUCGCCGUCUCUCCCAGCUGGCCCCAGAGGAAGGUCCUGUCCUGCCUGGGCUGGGCACAGGCUCUGCCCGGGAUGGGAGCCACAGCUGCUGUUCCACACUCUAUUUUUAGGUCCAACAUUUUCUUGAGAAAACGCCUGAAGGAUUCAGUAAGGCGGCUUUUCCUCUCGGACCCACGCUGCCACAUCGGAUACAGCUGGAGCGGGCAUCCUCAGAGAGUAGGGCUCCAUCCAGCGUCUGCAGGAUGAGUUACUGACAGCUCUGCUUCCAUUUAUAAAUGAACCCUCAGAGACCGCUUCCACAGCAAAGGAAAGUCAUCCUCUUCAGUAACAGAACCAGCAGUAACAGCCAGAACCCUCAGCACAAGUCUCAGCUGCUUUGCCUGACAGGCAAACAUCCAGGGGUGCUCCCAGCCCUUCCAGCCCUGUCUGCAUUCAGACAAGGCUGGAGAGAGAAUGUGAUGAUGUUAUGAGCAAUAAGUGAUCAGACUUUUCAGAAAUAGACCGCAGGGACAUUCUUGGGUUUGAGUUGUUGGAUUUUUUUGGCAAAAGAUGUCUUUUGAGUUUAUCAGAUUCAGGAUUUGAUCCUGCUGCUUUAAAGAUGUGAGUCUAAGCAUAAGGAUGUGCAAGCAUUGUUAAGCACAGCUUCCAGGUUCCUGUCUUACAAUGAAAAAUACUCUUCAGCCUUUUGAUAUGUAAAAGCAUGUUUCUGGAGUGAAUAUUGGGAUGUUCUAAACCACACUGCAGUACAAUCAGGUAUGGCCCAGUCUGGAAACGCUGCUAUCAACAUAACACAACUAGAUAAGCAUAUUUAUCUACAUGAAAAUUUGUCCUUUAAUCUUAGUUCCACCCCUUAAAAUGUAGGUUGCAUCUUAAGCUGUUCUGUGCUGUCGGAAUAGGUGAAAGGAAGCUCCUUUGUACUCCUCAUCUCUCAUGCACAGAGCAUUAGCACGUGCAAUUAGGCGUGACAUUUGGGUAAAUAUUGCUAGUGUUAACAGCCAAAGAACCCAGGAGACAGCGAGCAGGGAAAGGAAGGGGAACAAAGCCCUGCCGAGGCAGUUUUGUGCUGGCAAAAGUAACAUACAAAUCUGUGGAUUAUCAUUUUCACCUCCACCUAGACUAAACUCCUGAUAUGUUGUCAGUUGUAUUUACUAUGACUUUUACUCUUCAUAUUCAGCAUUAACCUGGAUUCUCAGGCAUUUUAUAAAACCCCAGCUACUUUCUGAUUUCAAUAUCCUGAAAUUCUUACUUUGUAUGUACAGAAUAGUCAUACUCACCAAUUUUAUCUAACACUGAACAGUUCAAUACUAAUGAGAGGCUGAGAAUGGGGAUGCUCCUGUUUAAAGUUUGCACAGAGACAAAACAAAAAUGCAAAACUAAUACCUGUAUGCACAGAUUUGCUGCUGGGCACCAUUGGUUUAAAGGCUGUGCACUCUGACACGAUCAUUCUAUCACCAAGGACUGGACUGCAAUCCCUUCAUGCUUGCUGGGAAUUCACACCCUGCGGAUUUUCUGCCAUUAAUUACAGUUGGGUUACUCAGCACCACAGCUCUGGGCGGUGCCUGUGCUCAGAUCUGGGUUACUGGAGCUCGCCCUAAGGUCUUUUCCAAGAACAAAAGAUACAGGUUGCACUCAAUUCUGAAUGGCAAACUGCUUUAGUUUGUCUUUUAAAGUGACACAAAGAAUAUUUUAUCUGCACAUUAAGAAAAUGUGCCCAAACCUUCCCCAAAGGUACCCAAAUUACCCUGUACGAGUGAUUUGGUUGCUCAGGGUUUCUACUGUGAAACCACACAAGAUUUGAAACUGAACAGUUUCGAUGCCCUGUUCAGUGUUUCCAGAGCAGAGACUGCUGGAGCUGCAGAGCCCAUCCAUCGUGGCUGGCUCACCUGCUGAGGGUGGCCCAGGAAGCCAAGACACUUCUUUCCAAAGGCCACUUUGCAAAGCUGUGCUCCUCUUUACAAAGGACUGAGCUAUUUUUUUUUUUUUUUUUCUUUUGUGGCCUCCAGAUGUUUUGGGGUAAGUUUUGAACAUUACAUAUUGCAUCCAUAUUUAUAUUUGAAAUAAAAACACACAAAAGAUUUUAAAAUAAAACUUCUUGCUGGUUGCUGGAGAUGAUUAACAGUGUGUAAAGACUCCAAAUUGAGAGAAACUGGGCUUUCAAUUUUCAUUCUGGUCAGUGUUGCAAAAGAUGUGCUUUUAGCUUUGUUUUAAUCAACUAUGAAUUUGAUCUUUUUUCUAUUAAUAAAUGUGAGCUCCAGGACCACCACCACCAACUUCAGCUCCAAUUGCUGAGAUCUCACACCAUCACCAGAGAAGGCCUGGUGUCAGAACAUGUAAUAUUCAAUAUCUAUUCUCAUAUUUGUAAACUGUAAGUGUUUAAAAGUCAUAAGCUUUUUUCCUGCUAAACCUGGCUUUUGGAAGUGGGGAGCAGUGGACACUGUGAGCUGCUCACACCAUCAUCUCAUGUCAGGCUGAGGGCACUGGGGAUGGACCUCCCUGAGAAGUGCACUUUCAAAAUGCUGUUCUUGGGAUCCUUCACCAAAGAUUCUUAAAAAACCUGAUCUGUCAUGCAAGAAGAUGAAAUGUAAAAAAAUUCUAACUCUUGUUUUUCACUUCAGAGAAAACUGCAUCCGAGGCUGGAAGCAAACACAGAACAAUUUCCUUUCAGAGAAGUUGUUCCUGUCAGCUUUCACACUGCUGAAUCCUUAAUGGCCAUAGGAUGGACUUGCAAUGGUGAGUAAGUUUAGGUUUGAGACAUAAUUUAAUUUUCUACCAAACUCCUGGUUAUUGUGGGGUUUCACAAGUGUCUGGAAACUUUUCCCCACUCUCAGAGUGGGAGUAAGAGGCUCAUUUUCUGCAAACCCCUGAAGAAGUUCUUGCAGAGUUCCACCAAGCAGCCACGGGUAACACCCAGUCCCCUUUUCAGCCAAUUUGUCUCUGUUCAGAAACUCGCAUGUGCAAACCUUGUUCGUGGCACAGCUCCAGCACCAUCUGCUCCCCUGUCUCCAGAGCACAGGCAGCGAGGAGCUCUGACAACUGAGGCUGGAACAUACGGCGUGUUUAUAGCACAGAGCCACUGCACACGAGCAGGCCUUGAACGAGGGAAAUGAUUUGAAGAGUUACAGAACAUUUGAGUUGUGCAGAAU